rnacentral:lncRNA from 1 species
CUGGGGAGCCUGCUUCCUCCUCUCUCUUUCUCUCUCUCUCUCCCUGCCUCUCUGCCUAACUGUGAUCUCUCUCUGUCAAAUAAAUAAAUAAAAUCUUUUAAAAAAAAGAUUUUACUUUUCUGACAGAGAGAUAUAGAGAGUGCCGGUAGGCAGAGCAGCAAGCGGAGGUAGAAGGAGAAUCAGGCUCCCCGCUGAGCAGGGAGCCUUAUGUGGGGCUCAAUAUCAGGACCCUGGGAUCAUGACCUGAGCUGAAGGCAGAAACUUAACCGACUAAACUACCCAGGCACCCCAUAGUGUGGUAUUUCUGAAUGACAGUUUGACCACGAUAGUUUGUCAUGGUCAUCAAAGAUCCCAAAAGCAAAAACUCUCUUCCUGGCACCGCCUCAGUCAGCCAUGAUUUCAAUGACUUCAAUUUCCCCAUAGUGUUCAGAAUAAUCUCUUAAGUGAUGUUCUUCAGUGUCUUCUCUAAUGUCACCAACAAAAAAUCUUUUUCCACAGGUAAGUGGGCACCAGGUCUUUGAGAAUCUUCUCUUUGGUUCCACAACUCUCCAAUCCACCUGCCCCCUGAAGCACUUAGUGUUUGGCUCGCUCAUUACACCACAUAGUCCGUGAGCUUUCUGCAUUGCUCAAAAUGGCUCCUCAGACUCAUCAGCUGUUUGAAAGCUCCCAUGAAGAACUCUGCAGCUGCUCAGAAUCUUUGGGAGACUGACUUCAACAUGCCAGCAGGAGGAGAAACUUGAACAGUGCUUACUUGCCAGCAUUCACAGAGAGAGAGCUGGAGCACACAAGCAGGGGGAGCAGCAAAGGAAGAGGAAGAAGCAGGCUCCCAGCUGAGCCCUGUGCCCAAUGCGGGACUUGAUCCCAGGCAAUUGCUUAACCAACUGAGCCACUUAGGGACCUGGGAGGUUGCAUUUUCCUGGUGGAGAAGAGAUUUGGCUUGGCUGCCUCAUUCACAUCCCUUUGGAAUGACAUCUAUUUAUACAUUGUCAGCGUCUCUGAAAGAAAGGCACUGGCUGCCUCUCCCCCUCCGGAUAUAGAAGCAGCUGUUUUUCCUUGCUGAAGAAGGGCCAGCAAAUUCAAGCGCUGAUGGGCAGGGAGCAUGUUUUAAAAUUUGGGACUAUCUUUUACUCAAACCAUUCAGUUAUCCAUUUCUUUCUUUCUUUUCCUGAGCCAGCCGGGAGCCCCCAUAAUGUACUUUAAUACAUUGAGAUUAAUACAUAUAGACUUGUUGAAUCACUGUGUUGUACUCCUGAAACUAAUGUAAUGUGUGAAUCAUUCUUCAAUUUAAAACAAUUAUUUUUUAAAUAUAUUUUUUAAAAUAAAAAGUAUUUGGGGGUUGCCUGACUGGCUCAGUGGGUGGAGCAUGUGAUUCUUGAUCUCAGGGUUGUAAGUUC